GUGGGGAAUCUUGCGCAAUGGGCGAAAGCCUGACGCAGCAACGCCGCGUGGGGGAUGAAGGCUCUCGGGUUGUAAACCCCUUUCAGCAGGGACGAAUCAAGACGGUACCUGCAGAAGAAGCCCCGGCUAACUACGUGCCAGCAGCCGCGGUAACACGUAGGGGGCAAGCGUUGUCAGGAUUUAUUGGGCGUAAAGAGCUCGUAGGUGGCUGAGUAAGUCGGAUGUCAAAUCCCCAGGCUCAACCUGGGAUCCCAUCCGAUACUGCUCUGGCUAGAGUCCGGUAGGGGAGCGUGGAAUUCCGGGUGUAGCGGUGAAAUGCGCAGAUAUCAGGAGGAACACCAGCGGCGAAGGCGGCGCUCUGGGCCGGUACUGACACUGAGGAGCGAAAGCGUGGGUAGCAAACAGGAUUAGAAACCCGGGUAGUCC
rnacentral:rRNA from 1 species